CUCUAGAUGCCCCAAGCCAGGGUUUCUGGGGGUGGCGUCUGGGAAUCCACUUGUAAUAAGCCACUGAGACCAAGGCUGGGACCAGGAAUGUAUCAGUAAGGUCUUGACCUUGGCCAUGGUUUGGCAUCACAGCAAACUUGAAGUUCUCCUCUGUGGAAACAGCCUGAGCUGGGCCAUUUGCAAUUGUGUGGACUCUAGCAUGUGUCCAACUGGAGCAGCAUGUGGUGGACACCGGUGUUUGCCAGCCCCACAUCCAUGUCAGGGAAGAGCACUUUGCCUUUGCUUUGGGUCUCUCCGGCUCUGCUUGGUGUCUAUGUUGCUGGUUCCCCAUCCUCUGCCAGCCUCCUACCUCUGGAGGGGGCCUGAUAACCCACCUGUACACAUCAGACUCUGUUCCCAGACUUCUGUUGGAACCAUUCACAAGCUCACUUUCCAAGGGGAUUGUGCUGGGGUAAACACCCAAAGUGGCUUCUGCCACAGUCCACCACAUGGAGAAAAUGAAGCUAACAAGGAGGAAAGCAGCCUCUAGAGAGAGGGAAAAAGAGGAAGAGAGACUGAGUCCUGAUGAUGUUGUAGCUCCUGGAUACAGCUAUGCCUGAAGCCCUCAUGCUUUCAUCUAUGUUAGUCAAUAAAUCCUGCCCGUCUCCCUGCUUUUUUCUUCUUGAGCCAGUUUGAGUUACAUUCAUGUCACUGCAGUUCAGAGUCCUUUCAUAGAAAUACCAAAUGCAGUGAGAUGCACUAUAAGCAUUGCUUUUUGUUUUAUGUUUUUUUUUGUUUGUUUGUUUUGCAGCAGAGAGACUAAAAUGUUCUUCCUCAGAGGUAGCAAGUCUCCUUAGAGCAGAUGUGUUUUGGAGGAAAAUAAUCAAUGAUUCUUUGGUUUGCCAAAUGCAAGGCAAAUACUAACCCAGAGUUCUGGAAAGGACUUGAAUAACAGAGUUAUUCAACCUAA
rnacentral:lncRNA from 1 species